UCCCCGUUAACGGGGCAGUCUGAUUAGAAAAAUACAACUAAUCACAAGGGUUGCGCUCGUUGAUGGACUUAACCAAACAUCUCACGACACGAGCUGACGACGGCCAUGCAUCAUCUGUCACCGAGUUCAAUAAAGCACUCUCGUCUUUCGACAAAAUUCUCGGGAUGUCAAGCCCUGGUAAGGUUCUUCGUUUAGCAUCGAAUUAAAGAACAUGAUCCACCGCUUGUGCGGGUCCCCGUCAAUUCCUUUAUGUUUUAGUCUUGCGACCGUACUCCACAGGCGGGAUACUUAACGCGUUAGCUUCGCUACUGAAGGGGUCGAUACCUCCAACAGCUAGUAUCCAUCGUUUACGGCGUGGACUAC
rnacentral:misc_RNA from 1 species